rnacentral:rRNA from 1 species
AGAGUUUGAUCCUGGCUCAGAACGAACGCUGGCGGCGUGGAUAAGACAUGCAAGUUGAACGCGAUAUCCAGGGUAGCAAUAUCUUGGGUGUUGAGUAGCGCAAGGGUGCGUAACACGUGAGAAUCUACCAUGAAGUUGGGGAUAACUCGCUGAAAGGCGAGCUAAUACCGAAUGUGCCCGCAAGGGUAAAGCUGGGGACCCAGGGUUAAACCUGAGCCUGGCGCUUCUUGAUGAGCUCGCGGCCUAUCAGCUAGUUGGCGGGGUAAUGGCCCACCAAGGCGAAGACGGGUAGCUGGUCUGAGAGGACGACCAGCCACACUGGAACUGAGACACGGUCCAGUCACCUACGGGUGGCAGCAGUCGAGAAUUUUUCUCAAUGGGCGCAAGCCUGAAGGAGCGACGCCGCGUGGGGGAUGAAGGGUUUCGAUCCGUAAACCCCUGUCAUUUGUGAACAAGGCUCAUUCAAUAACACUGGGUGAGUUGAUAGUAAUGAAAGAGGAAGGGACGGCUAACUCUGUGCCAGCAGCCGCGGUAAUACAGAGGUCCCAAGCGUUGUUCGGAUUCACUGGGCGUAAAGGGUGCGUAGGUGGCGCCUCAAGUUUGAUGUGAAAGCUCAGGGCUUAACCCUGAAAUGGCAUUGAAUACUGGGGUGCUGGAGGUUUGGAGGGGGGACUGGAAUUCUCGGUGUAGCAGUGAAAUGCGUAGAUAUCGAGAGGAACACCAGUGGCGAAGGCGAGUCCCUGGACAACACCUGACACUGAGGCACGAAAGCCGGGGGAGCAAACAGGAUUAGAUACCCUGGUAGUCG